AGCGAACGCUGGCGGCAGGCUUAACACAUGCAAGUCGAACGGGCACUUCGGUGCUAGUGGCAGACGGGUGAGUAACGCGUGGGAACGUGCCUUUCGGUUCGGAAUAAUCCAGGGAAACUUGGACUAAUACCGGAUACGCCCUUCGGGGAAAGAUUUAUCGCCGAAAGAUCGGCCCGCGUCUGAUUAGCUAGUUGGUGAGGUAAAGGCUCACCAAGGCGACGAUCAGUAGCUGGUCUGAGAGGAUGAUCAGCCACACUGGGACUGAGACACGGCCCAGACUCCUACGGGAGGCAGCAGUGGGGAAUAUUGGACAAUGGGCGAAAGCCUGAUCCAGCCAUGCCGCGUGAGUGAUGAAGGCCUUAGGGUUGUAAAGCUCUUUUGUCCGGGAAGAUAAUGACUGUACCGGAAGAAUAAGCCCCGGCUAACUUCGUG
rnacentral:rRNA from 1 species